UUCCCUGCGGUUUGCUGGGUGGCUCCGGGAACGAGAGAGCAAACCGCGGCGAAGCGGGUCUCCUUUCCCGGUUUGCUCUCUCGUUCCCGGAGCCCCGAGCAAGCAGGUCUCCUUCCCUGCGGUUUGCUGGGUGGCUCCGGGAACGCGAGAGCAAACCGCGGCGAAGCGGGUCUCCUUUCCCGGUUUGCUCUCUCGUUCCCGGAGCCCAGAGCAAGCAGGUCUCCUUCCCUGCGGUUUGCUGGGUGGCUCCGGGAACGCGAGAGCAAACCGCGGCGAAGCGGGUCUCCUUUCCCGGUUUGCUCUCUCGUUCCCGGAGCCCAGAGCAAGCAGAUCUCCUUCCCUGCUGUUUGCUGGGUGGCUCCGGGAACGAGAGAGCAAACCGCGGCGAAGCGGGUCUCCUUUCCCGGUUUGCUCUCUCGUUCCCGGAGCCCCGAGCAAGCAGGUCUCCUUUCCCGGUUUGCUCUCGCGUUCCCCGAACCCCCGAGCAAGCAGGUCUCCUUCCCUGCGGUUUGCAGGGUGGUUCGAGGAACGCGAGAGCAAACCGCGGCGAAGCUGGUCUCCUUUCCCGGUUUGCUCUCACGUUCCCCGAACCCCCCUUGAAGCCGCCCAACAGCGCUGCAGUGUGGCCACAUCUAACACCACUUGCAGCGCUGGUUGCUGUAAGUGUGGCCACUCUGCAGCGCUGGCCCUAUACAGCUGUACUAAUACAGCUGUAACAACCAGCGCUGCAAAAUUGUAGAUGUAGACAUACCC